GGGGUCGACUGGUUUUGACAGCGAGUGGAAUUGAUUAGUAAGCAUGUCGAGCCAAGUAUGGUAGGCUCGUAAAUAUCUGCUAUACGAAUAUUACACGGCGAAAAUAAUUACGCUUUAGCUGCUUAAUCCGAAUUAUAGUACGAUUUGCCUAGUUCCUACAAGGUAGGAAAGCUAGAUUCUCCUCAAAAGCCUUGGUUUGUGGCGGUUGAAAAAGGAGAACCGUAAAAAUAAACCUAGAAAAGGUAAAGCUUUGAAUCCUUUUUGACACGAAUAAAGCUAAGCUAAAAGUGGUCGUUUUCAACCUUGCUUUUAGUCGAAAAAUUAAGUGAAAACUAAGCAUGUAGAAAGCUCUUUGAUUGCUUGUUUGGACCCGAGUUCGAUUCUCGGCGACUCCACGA
rfam:Flavobacterium columnare ATCC 49512, complete genome.